rnacentral:rRNA from 1 species
UACAGAGGUCUCAAGCGUUGUUCGGAUUCAUUGGGCGUAGAGGGUGCGUAGGCGGCGCGGUAAGUCGGGUGUGAAAUCUCGGAGCUUAACUCCGAAACUGCAUUCGAUACUGCCGUGCUUGAGGACUGGAGAGGAGACUGGAAUUUACGGUGUAGUGGUGAAAUGCGUAGAUAUCGUAAGGAAGACCAGUGGCGAAGGCGGGUCUCUGGACAGUUCCUGACGCUGAGGCACGAAGGUCAGGGGAGCAAACGGG